CCCUUAGAUGUUCUGGGCCGCACGCGUGCUACACUGAGUGGGUCAGCGGGUCAGGUUGCGCGAAAGUGUUUCCUAAUCUUGAAAUCCGCUCGUGAUGGGGAUUGACGGUUGCAAUUUUCCGUCAUGAACGAGGAAUACCUUGUAAGCGCGGGUCAUCAUCCCGCGCUGAAUACGUCCCUGCCCUUUGUACACACCGCCCGUCGCUCCUACCGAUUGAGUGGUCCGGUGAGGCUUUGGGAUCUGAGCAAAGAGAGCGUUUCGCUCGUUUUGCCCGGAAAACUCAGUCGAACCUUAUCAUUUAGAGGAAGGAGAAGUCGUAACA
rnacentral:rRNA from 1 species